UAUCUAUCCAAAAUACACAGAGUGGUUGGUGCGGAUAAAAGAAAAGGGGUAAUUUACGAGAACAGUAUAGAAAAGAAGAAUUUGAGAUUCCAGUACACAUGGACAAUAUGAGGAUGUCUGCACAAAGGUCUGCACAAUCUAAAGACAGCGAAGAAAAGGCUGAGGUGAAAUUAAGUUCCCUCACAGAGAAACUACAGGAAAGACGAACAAAGAUAACUUUAAUGAUAGAAAACUCGCAAUAUCCCAAAAGCACUUGGGAGCAGUGGCUGCCUCAAAAUCCAAUACUACUCUUUACACAGAUGAAACUCGCAAACAAAGCUGAUGUUUGUGAAGCUGCCAUAAAAAAAUUUGAAAUAGAAUAUUUAGAUGGAAAAUUGAUUGGGUCUGCAGAAAAGCCAGAAUUGCAACGGUACCACGAGGCAGAAAGUGACACUCUCCGUCUCUUGAGAACAAGCAGCAAAGCGUUUGUGAUGGGGGAGGAUGUGUUUUUCUUCCAAAGGAGAAAAACAAAUUACAUUCAAAGGUUUAAACAUAACCGAUUCAACAUGAUUUUUAUGAUUGGACAAUCUGUGUUUUACCACCAUGAAGAUAUCCAUUUUCUGAGUAAUGUACACGGUACGACAAAUGAUUUAUUGAAAGCAGUCAAAUAUGAUUCCGAAGAUCCCUUGUACCUUGCUGGUGCCAGAAUACUUGGUUUGCUGUCAAAAUUUGUGACCGCUCCUUUAUGGCGACUCAUCGAGAGUCCAGGACAUAUUUUGGACAUGAAUAUCAACUACCAGACCCUUGUUCAAUACCUGGAUACAGCUUCCACAGAGGAAGAUGUCACUAAUGACAUCCUUCAUGGAAGCUCAAUGCCUUUCCCAACUCAUAUGGAUGAAAACGACAAAGUUUUAAGCAAACUUAUAAGAGAUGAUGACAAGCUUGACCCAAUUUGUCUUCCACUUUUACAGACUCUUUUCAGAGCUAUCAAGGAAUUGUUAAAUAGAAUGAUUCCUGAACAUUUACCAGAGGGACAAUUCUGGGAAACCUCAGCCGCAGUCCAGAAACAAACAAGCUCGGUGAUGAAAUACAACAAACUUCCUGAGUUUAUUUUCGAACAGUUAGAUCAUCUCUCUUUUCGACCAAAUGCAUCUGUACUUGCGAAUGAAGCUUACCUUAUGUAUGCCUUCAACAAAACAAGUGAAUGGUUGAGGAAGUUACCACCAGAUGAAAGAGAGAAAAUCAUUGAGAAUUCCAGGAAAGGAGGAAGAGAAAUUAGGAAACUUUUUAAAGACCGGUUACAAGAGAUUGAAAAUAAAAGAUUAGAAGCGCAGAGAAGGAAACAGAUGGAACUGGAGAAAGAGAGAAUAAGAAGAGCAGAAGAGAUGUCCAACGAUAGUGAACAACAAGUAGAAGAGGGCAUGGGGAGAUUAAGGAACGAGAAGAAAUUGAUUAAUGCUUUACAAGCACAACUGAAAUUCCGAAAGAAUGUCUAGAAACAGAAGCACAAGGACAGCAAAAUAUUUAACUUAUCAAGAAAGAAACCUGAUGGUACCCUAAUUUUUCCAUGGUUGCAGAUAUCUAUAGAUACAUGACCUAUCCUUGAUCACAGUUAAAAGCACUAACAAAAAGAACUGCGAACAAUAGCAUUUGUGUUCUGAUAUGAUUAACAAAGUAUAAAGAUAAUAAACAGGACGGUAGCUUCAGACUGGAAAUCAUCGGAGAUGAAUUUGGUCACGUUACAAAAUAAGAAAGCAUAGCGAAACAUGUCUCAUCACAUAAGUGAAAUGCAUGAAUACAUGACUGAUGAUGACACAAGAUCAAGGUUAGAACACAAUCAUGAAAUGUAAUACAUGUAGAAUGAAUUAAUGGCAAACAUAUGUAUAAACUGAAGAACUAGAGCAUGAAUCA
rnacentral:sRNA from 1 species